CUGUGCCUGUGACAGAUGAUAUUUUUAUGCAAGAAAACAAAACCAGGAUAUGUGAUGGACUGCAUUAUCUUUCCAGACAGCUUGGAGCUACAGCUGCAAAGUAAGAAGUUUUAUGCUUAGACUUCAAAACUGAGCAGAGAAGAUUCAGCUGUUUUGUAUGAGAAUCCAGGCAUUAAUAAUGAUUGUGUGAUCAUGGUUUUGGAAAAGUAAGAAGAUAUUUCCUGGCUACAUAUGUGGAGUUAUGUUUCUUAAGAAAACCAACAAUGAAGUCAUUUUGACCUCUGAUGGAUGAAACUCAUUGGAAUGGAAACUAACAUCUAUGAAGAAGAACAGGGCUCACCUUAUCUUACAUCUGCCAAGUGCCCAGGGACUUCAAAGGAAGCAAAGUAUGAAGAAUACCAAAGAAAGACAGAAAAACAGGCAAGUCCAUUUCAGAAGGUUUUACUGGAACCUGAGUUGAGUUUGCUGUCUGCAACAUCCUUAUUAGACCACAAUAAGAAACCCCUGCAACUCGGCACAGCUUCAGGGUGUGUCAGCGCCACCGACCAGUCUGAUACAAAGCACCUUUGUGAAGAAUUACUCUGUUCUGCAAGGCACAAGCCAAAGGAAGAUCCUUUAAAUCUUCCUUUGCACACAGAAUGGCCAGUCCUCACAGGGAAAAAUUCAGACGAGAAACCAGAAAGGAGUCACAAGAUCAGAGUCAUAAAACACAAACCAAGUGCUAUCACAUUUUCCGAUUUCGAAUUUUUAUCACAUGAAGCUAAUACUAAACUCCAUAUUUGUGAGGCAGGAGAAGCAGAAGAUUUUUCAUCUGAAGAGGAAGAAGCAGAUGGUAGAGAUGAUGAUGAUGAUGAUGAUGUCUUUACAGAACUUCCACUGUAUGAGGUGUUUUUCAAUGGUCUUCAUAGAAGAAAUGUUUCUCAAAGAAAGCAAGCUAAACAUGAACUUACUAAAUAUCAACACAUCUGUCAGUUAGAAGACUAUGAUGAUCAUUCUGAAAAGGAAUUGAAGGACCAGUGCAAGGAAGAAAAACACAUGGAGCCAGAGACCCAACCAGAAAAGGGAUCUGAAUGGUCAGACUCUAUGUCAUGUCUUAUGAAGAAACUGGAACAGUUGAACUUAGAUAUUGAAGAAGCUCUGAGUGCUGGCUCUUCUCCCUCCAGUACUCCUUCUACCAAAAGGCACAAGCAACUGUUCCCUGUUCAAUUGGAGACAGGCUUUUAUGGAGAUCAUCAAGGAAAGGGAUCUUGGAAAAAUAGAAGAGUGAACUACCAGGAUCCAGACUGUUUGCCUUACACAGUGUCAACUGGAGCACGACCUAAAACUG
rnacentral:lncRNA from 1 species